rnacentral:tRNA from 1 species
GGGGGCGUAGCUCAGUUGGGAGAGCGCGACACUGGCAGUGUUGAGGUCAUGGGUUCAAGUCCCACCGUCUCCA